GUACACUCCUGCGGGAGGCAGCAGUGGGGAAUUUUGGACAAUGGGCGAAAGCCUGAUCCAGCCAUGCCGCGUGCAGGAUGAAGGCCUUCGGGUUGUAAACUGCUUUUGUACGGAACGAAACGGCCUUUUCUAAUAAAGAGGGCUAAUGAAGGUACCGUAAGAAUAAGCACCGGCUACUUACGUGCCAGCAGCCGCGGUAAUACGUAGGGUGCAAGCGUUAAUCGGAAUUACUGGGCGUAAAGCGUGCGCAGGCGGUUAUGUAAGACAGUUGUGAAAUCCCCGGGCUCAACCUGGGAACUGCAUCUGUGACUGCAUAGCUAGAGUACGGUAGAGGGGGAUGGAAUUCCGCGUGUAGCAGUGAAAUGCGUAGAUAUGCGGAGGAACACCGAUGGCGAAGGCAAUCCCCUGGACCUGUACUGACGCUCAUGCACGAAAGCGUGGGGAGCAAACAGGAUUAGAUACCCAUGUAGUCCCA
rnacentral:rRNA from 1 species